rnacentral:rRNA from 1 species
GUGGGGAAUAUUGCACAAUGGAGGAAACUCUGAUGCAGCGACGCCGCGUGAGUGAAGAAGGUCUUCGGAUCGUAAAACUCUGUCCUUGGUGAAGAAAAAGACGGUAGCCAAGGAGGAAGCCCCGGCUAACUACGUGCCAGCAGCCGCGGUAAUACGUAGGGGGCGAGCGUUGUCCGGAUUUACUGGGCGUAAAGGGUGAGUAGGCGGUUGUAUAUGUCAGGUGUAAAAGGCUAUGGCUUAACCAUGGUUAGCACUUGAAACUGUACAACUUGAGUGCAGGAGAGGUAAGUGGAAUUCCUAGUGUAGCGGUGAAAUGCGUAGAUAUUAGGAGGAACACCAGUGGCGAAGGCGACUUACUGGACUGUAACUGACGCUGAGUCACGAAAGCGUGGGUAGCAAACAGGAUUAGAAACCCUAGUAGUCC